rnacentral:rRNA from 1 species
GGGUUGUGAGGUUAAGCGACUAAGCGUACACGGUGGAUGCCCUGGCAGUCAGAGGCGAUGAAGGACGUGCUAAUCUGCGAAAAGCGCCGGCGAGGUGAUAUGAACCUUUGACCCGGCGAUGUCCGAAUGGGGAAACCCAGUGUGAUUCGUCACACUAUCGUUAACUGAAUACAUAGGUUAACGAGGCGAACCGGGGGAACUGAAACAUCUAAGUACCCCGAGGAAAAGAAAUCAACCGAGAUUCCCCCAGUAGCGGCGAGCGAACGGGGAGCAGCCCAGAGUCUGAAUCAGCUUGUGUGUUAGUGGAAGCGUCUGGAAAGUCGCACGGUACAGGGUGACAGUCCCGUACACGAAAAUGCACAGGUUGUGAACUCGAAGAGUAGGGCGGGACACGUGGUAUCCUGUCUGAAUAUGGGGGGACCAUCCUCCAAGGCUAAAUACUCCUGACUGACCGAUAGUGAACCAGUACCGUGAGGGAAAGGCGAAAAGAACCCCGGCGAGGGGAGUGAAAAAGAACCUGAAACCGUGUACGUACAAGCAGUGGGAGCACCUUCGUGGUGUGACUGCGUACCUUUUGUAUAAUGGGUCAGCGACUUAUAUUCUGUAGCAAGGUUAACCGUAUAGGGGAGCCGAAGGGAAACCGAGUCUUAACUGGGCGUUAAGUUGCAGGGUAUAGACCCGAAACCCGGUGAUCUAGCCAUGGGCAGGUUGAAGGUUGGGUAACACUAACUGGAGGACCGAACCGACUAAUGUUGAAAAAUUAGCGGAUGACUUGUGGCUGGGGGUGAAAGGCCAAUCAAACCGGGAGAUAGCUGGUUCUCCCCGAAAGCUAUUUAGGUAGCGCCUCGUGAACUCAUCUUCGGGGGUAGAGCACUGUUUCGGCUAGGGGGCCAUCCCGGCUUACCAACCCGAUGCAAACUACGAAUACCGAAGAAUGUUAUCACGGGAGACACACGGCGGGUGCUAACGUCCGUCGUGAAGAGGGAAACAACCCAGACCGCCAGCUAAGGUCCCAAAGUCAUGGUUAAGUGGGAAACGAUGUGGGAAGGCACAGACAGCCAGGAUGUUGGCUUAGAAGCAGCCAUCAUUUAAAGAAAGCGUAAUAGCUCACUGGUCGAGUCGGCCUGCGCGGAAGAUGUAACGGGGCUAAACCAUGCACCGAAGCUGCGGCAGCGACGCUUAUGCGUUGUUGGGUAGGGGAGCGUUCUGUAAGCCGUUGAAGGUGUGCUGUGAGGCAUGCUGGAGGUAUCAGAAGUGCGAAUGCUGACAUAAGUAACGAUAAAGCGGGUGAAAAGCCCGCUCGCCGGAAGACCAAGGGUUCCUGUCCAACGUUAAUCGGGGCAGGGUGAGUCGACCCCUAAGGCGAGGCCGAAAGGCGUAGUCGAUGGGAAACAGGUUAAUAUUCCUGUACUUGGUGUUACUGCGAAGGGGGGACGGAGAAGGCUAUGUUAGCCGGGCGACGGUUGUCCCGGUUUAAGCAUGUAGGCGGAACGAUUAGGUAAAUCCGGUCGUUUAUUAACGCUGAGGUGUGAUGACGAGGCACUACGGUGCUGAAGUAACAAAUGCCCUGCUUCCAGGAAAAGCCUCUAAGCAUCAGGUAACAUCAAAUCGUACCCCAAACCGACACAGGUGGUCAGGUAGAGAAUACCAAGGCGCUUGAGAGAACUCGGGUGAAGGAACUAGGCAAAAUGGUGCCGUAACUUCGGGAGAAGGCACGCUGAUAUGUAGGUGAAGCCCCUGCGGGUGGAGCUGAAAUCAGUCGAAGAUACCAGCUGGCUGCAACUGUUUAUUAAAAACACAGCACUGUGCAAACACGAAAGUGGACGUAUACGGUGUGACGCCUGCCCGGUGCCGGAAGGUUAAUUGAUGGGGUUAGCGGCAACGCGAAGCUCUUGAUCGAAGCCCCGGUAAACGGCGGCCGUAACUAUAACGGUCCUAAGGUAGCGAAAUUCCUUGUCGGGUAAGUUCCGACCUGCACGAAUGGCGUAAUGAUGGCCAGGCUGUCUCCACCCGAGACUCAGUGAAAUUGAACUCGCUGUGAAGAUGCAGUGUACCCGCGGCAAGACGGAAAGACCCCGUGAACCUUUACUAUAGCUUGACACUGAACACUGGUCCUUGAUGUGUAGGAUAGGUGGGAGGCUUUGAAGUGUGGACGCCAGUCUGCAUGGAGCCGUCCUUGAAAUACCACCCUUUAAUGGCUGGUGUUCUAACGUAGACCCGUAAUCCGGGUUGCGGACAGUGUCUGGUGGGUAGUUUGACUGGGGCGGUCUCCUCCCAAAGAGUAACGGAGGAGCACGAAGGUUAGCUAAUCCUGGUCGGACAUCAGGAGGUUAGUGCAAUGGCAUAAGCUAGCUUGACUGCGAGAGUGACGGCUCGAGCAGGUGCGAAAGCAGGUCAUAGUGAUCCGGUGGUUCUGAAUGGAAGGGCCAUCGCUCAACGGAUAAAAGGUACUCCGGGGAUAACAGGCUGAUACCGCCCAAGAGUUCAUAUCGACGGCGGUGUUUGGCACCUCGAUGUCGGCUCAUCACAUCCUGGGGCUGAAGUAGGUCCCAAGGGUAUGGCUGUUCGCCAUUUAAAGUGGUACGCGAGCUGGGUUUAGAACGUCGUGAGACAGUUCGGUCCCUAUCUGCCGUGGGCGCUGGAGAAUUGAGGGGGGCUGCUCCUAGUACGAGAGGACCGGAGUGGACGCAUCACUGGUGUUCGGGUUGUCAUGCCAAUGGCACUGCCCGGUAGCUAAAUGCGGAAAAGAUAAGUGCUGAAAGCAUCUAAGCACGAAACUUGCCCCGAGAUGAGUUCUCCCUGACUCCUUGAGAGUCCUGAAGGAACGUUGAAGACGACGACGUUGAUAGGUCGGGUGUGUAAGCGCAGCGAUGCGUUGAGCUAACCGAUACUAAUGAACCGUGAGGCUUAACCUUACAACGCCGAAGGUGUUU